UACGUAGGGGGCAAGCGUUGUCCGGAAUUAUUGGGCGUAAAGAGCGUGUAGGCGGUCCGGUAAGUCAGCUGUGAAAGUCAAGGGCUCAACCCUUGAAUGCCGGUUGAUACUGUCGGGCUAGAGUCCGGAAGAGGCGAGUGGAAUUCCCGGUGUAGCGGUGAAAUGCGUAGAUAUCAGAAGGAACAUCAGUGGCGAAGGCGGCUUCCUGGACCAAUACUGACGAUCAGGUGCGAAAGCGUGGGGAGCAAACAGG
rnacentral:rRNA from 1 species